UACGUAGGUGGCAAGCGUUGUCCGGAAUUACUGGGCGUAAAGCGCGUGCAGGCGGCCUUGCAAGUCGGACGUGAAAUCCCACGGCUCAACCGUGGAAGUGCAUUCGAAACUGCGAGGCUGGAGUCCUGGAGAGGAAAGUGGAAUACUCGGUGUAGAGGUGAAAUUCGUAGAUAUCGAGUGGAACACCGGUGGCGAAGGCGGCUUUCUGGACAGGUACUGACGCUGAGACGCGAAAGCGUGGGGAGCAAACAGG
rnacentral:rRNA from 1 species